rnacentral:rRNA from 1 species
CAGCAGAGCCACGGUAAUACGUAGGGCGCAAGCGUUGUCCGGAAUUAUUGGGCGUAAAGAGCUCGUAGGCGGUCUGUCGCGUCUGGUGUGAAAUCCCGAGGCUCAACCUCGGGCUUGCAUCGGGUACGGGCAGACUAGAGUGCGGUAGGGGAGACUGGAAUUCCUGGUGUAGCGGUGGAAUGCGCAGAUAUCAGGAGGAACACCGAUGGCGAAGGCAGGUCUCUGGGCCGCAACUGACGCUGAGGAGCGAAAGCAUGGGGAGCGAACAGGAUUAGAUACCCCCGUAGUCCCUGUCUCUUAUACA